rnacentral:rRNA from 1 species
UACGUAGGUGACAAGCGUUGUCCGGAUUUACUGGGCGUAAAGAGCGCGCAGGCGGUCGAUCAAGUCGAGUGUGAAAGCCCCCGGCUCAACUGGGGAGGGUCAUUCGAAACUGGUCGACUCGAAGGCAGGAGAGGGUAGUGGAAUUCCCGGUGUAGUGGUGAAAUGCGUAGAUAUCGGGAGGAACACCAGUGGCGAAAGCGGCUUCCUGGUCCAGCACCGACGUUCAGGCACGAAAGCGUGGGGAGCAAACAGG